GGCAAGAUGGCCGAGCGGUCCAAGGCGCUAGGGUCAGGUUAUCUGAUCGCAAAUAUCCGUCUAGCAUGGAAUAUUCCUAGUCUCGAAAGGGGCGUGGGUUCGAAUCCCACUCUUGUCA